ACCUCGGAUCAGGUAGGGAUACCCGCUGAACUUAAGCAUAUCAAUAAGCGGAGGAAAAGAAACCAACAGGGAUUACCUCAGUAACGGCGAGUGAAGCGGUAACAGCUCAAAUUUGAAAGCUGGCUCUUUUAGGGUCCGCGUUGUAAUUUGUAGAAGAUGCUUCGGGUGUGGCCCCGGUCUAAGUUCCUUGGAACAGGACGUCAUAGAGGGUGAGAAUCCCGUAUGUGACUGGGUGCUUUCGCUCAUGUGAAGCUCUUUCGACGAGUCGAGUUGUUUGGGAAUGCAGCUCAAAAUGGGUGGUAAAUUUCAUCUAAAGCUAAAUAUUGGCCAGAGACCGAUAGCGCACAAGUAGAGUGAUCGAAAGAUGAAAAGCACUUUGGAAAGAGAGUUAAACAGUACGUGAAAUUGUUGAAAGGGAAGCGCUUGCAACCAGACUUGCGCGCUGAUGAUCAUCCGGGCUUCUGCCCGGUGCACUCGUCUGCGCUCAGGCCAGCAUCGGUUUCGGUGGUGGGAUAAAGGCCUUGGGAAUGUGGCUCCUCUCGGGGAGUGUUAUAGCC
rnacentral:rRNA from 1 species